AACGAACGCUGGCGGCAUGCCUAACACAUGCAAGUCGAACGAGACGUUCGGGUGUAGUGGCGCACGGGGGCGUAACGCGUGGGAACCGGCCCUUAGGUUCGGAAUAACUCCCCGAAAGGGGUGCUAAUACCGGAUAAUGUCUUCUGACCAAAGAUUUAUCGCCUUUGGAUGGGCCCGCGUUGGAUUAGGUAGUUGGUAGGGUAAAAGCCUACCAAGGCGACGAUCCAUAGCUGGUUUGAGAGGAUGAUCAGCCACACUGGGACUGAGACACGGCCCAGACUCCUACGGGAGGCAGCAGUGGGGAAUAUUGGACAGUGGGCGAAAGCAUGAUCCACCAAUGCCGCGUGAGUGAUGAAGGCCUUAGGGUUGUAAAGCUCUUUUACCCGGGAUGAUAAUGACAUUACCGAGAGAAUAAGCUCCGGCUAACUCCGUG
rnacentral:rRNA from 1 species